rnacentral:other from 1 species
GAACCUCUGGAAUGUUCGAGACUGCCCUACCGGUUCCCCGCCUUAAUGAUAAUAUUACGGGAGCUCGACCCGGUUGCGACGGAUGUCAGGCCGCCAAGAUUGCGGAAGACAGAAGCCGCGGCGGAAGCACCCACCUCUUACUUGGGAGGCAGCGUAACCAACUCGGCAAGACGGCAAUUCCGGGGGUUCC